rnacentral:rRNA from 1 species
AAUUCGCCCUUAGAGUUUGAUCCUGGCUCAGGAUGAACGCUAGCUACAGGCUUAACACAUGCAAGUCGAGGGGCAGCAUGGUCUUAGCUUGCUAAGGCCGAUGGCGACCGGCGCACGGGUGAGUAACGCGUAUCCAACCUGCCUUACACUCUUGGACAGCCUUCUGAAAGGAAGAUUAAUACAAGAUGGCAUCAUGAGUCCGCAUGUUCACAUGAUUAAAGGUAUUCCGGUAGACGAUGGGGAUGCGUUCCAUUAGAUAGUAGGCGGGGUAACGGCCCACCUAGUCUUCGAUGGAUAGGGGUUCUGAGAGGAAGGUCCCCCACAUUGGAACUGAGACACGGUCCAAACUCCUACGGGAGGCAGCAGUGAGGAAUAUUGGUCAAUGGGCGAGAGCCUGAACCAGCCAAGUAGCGUGAAGGAUGACUGCCCUAUGGGUUGUAAACUUCUUUUAUAAAGGAAUAAAGUCGGGUAUGCAUACCCGUUUGCAUGUACUUUAUGAAUAAGGAUCGGCUAACUCCGUGCCAGCAGCCGCGGUAAUACGGAGGAUCCGAGCGUUAUCCGGAUUUAUUGGGUUUAAAGGGAGCGUAGAUGGAUGUUUAAGUCAGUUGUGAAAGUUUGCGGCUCAACCGUAAAAUUGCAGUUGAUACUGGAUAUCUUGAGUGCAGUUGAGGCAGGCGGAAUUCGUGGUGUAGCGGUGAAAUGCUUAGAUAUCACGAAGAACUCCGAUUGCGAAGGCAGCCUGCUAAGCUGCAACUGACAUUGAGGCUCGAAAGUGUGGGUAUCAAACAGGAUUAGAUACCCUGGUAGUCCACACGGUAAACGAUGAAUACUCGCUGUUUGCGAUAUACGGCAAGCGGCCAAGCGAAAGCGUUAAGUAUUCCACCUGGGGAGUACGCCGGCAACGGUGAAACUCAAAGGAAUUGAC